UACGGAGGGUGCGAGCGUGUCCGGAUUUAUUGGGUUUAAAGGGUGCGUAGGUGGCCAAUUAAGUCAGUGGUGAAAUACAGCCGUUCAACGGUUGAGGUGCCAUUGAUACUGAUUGGCUUGAAAUAAUUGGAGGCUGCCGGAAUGGAUGGUGUAGCGGUGAAAUGCAUAGAUAUCAUCCAGAACACCGAUUGCGAAGGCAGGUGGCUACGAUUGAUUUUGACACUGAGGCACGAAAGCAUGGGGGAGCAAACAGG
rnacentral:rRNA from 1 species